UCGGCGACAAUGCCCAAGGCCGGUCCGCACGUGUGGUCACCGCGACCGGGAUCCGGAGAUGUCCACCCGAGGUUCGAGGUCUGAGAUCGCAGGUCGGGUCAGCUGUCGGUCAGCGGCUCAGCUCAGUUGAGGGCGCGGGGCCGUGCCGGGGGCCUGUCGGCGAGGGGAAGCAGCUGACAGAAUUGGGCGUGCGACCCGCCCCCCGGUGUCCGCCAGGCGUUCGGCGCCCGAGUCCGGCCUCACCUGGAAGUGCUCCUGGAAGCGGAUAGGGAGAAUCUGAGCCAUAAUAGGCGCCGGGAUGAGGCGGCAGACGAUUCCCUGGAGCAGACAGACCAGCGGCACUGACCACAGCUGCGCAGGCGCACUGUACGAGUUGCUUACUACCGCGCCCCUCCGCGCGAGAGCCCUGCGCGGGAUUCCUCCGCCCGCUCUGAGGGUCUGGGAAAAGUAGUCCUGCGAGCAGCCUACUUUCAGUACCCUGGAAGCCCAGCGCGUCUUAGCUGGCCUAGGAUAUCACCGACAGGCGUACGCGGGAAUGUGGAUUGGGUUCAGAGCUAUCCCGGACCGGUGUCCAGACAGGUAUUCGUCAUGGCAACAAAAAGCUGACUGACACACUCAGCAAUACCAUUCCUGGAUAUGAAAUCAAGAAAAUGAAAUUAUGUCCACUGAAAUAUUUAUACAGUACCAUCAUGGAUAAUUGUCCAAAGGGAGAAACAAUCCUGAUGUCUAUCAGCAAGUGACUAGAUAAGCAAAAUGUAUUCCUUACAAUGAAAUAUUAUUUGGCCAUAAAAAGGAGUAGGACACAUGCUACAUGAAUGAACUCUGAAAACAUUAUGCUCAACUGAAUGUAGUGGUACACUCCUGUAAUCUCAGUGACUUGGGAGACUAAGGCAGGAGGAUGGCAAGUUUGAGACCAGCUCCAGCAACUUAGUAAUAAGCCCAUGUCUCAAAAUAAAAAAUAAAAAGGACUGGUGAUGUA